AUUGAACGCUGGCGGCAGGCCUAACACAUGCAAGUCGAGCGGAUGAAGGGAGCUUGCUCCUGGAUUCAGCGGCGGACGGGUGAGUAAUGCCUAGGAAUCUGCCUGGUAGUGGGGGAUAACGUCCGGAAACGGGCGCUAAUACCGCAUACGUCCUGAGGGAGAAAGUGGGGGAUCUUCGGACCUCACGCUAUCAGAUGAGCCUAGGUCGGAUUAGCUAGUUGGUGGGGUAAAGGCCUACCAAGGCGACGACCCGUAACUGGUCUGAGAGGAUGAUCAGUCACACUGGAACUGAGACACGGUCCAGACUCCUACGGGAGGCAGCAGUGGGGAAUAUUGGACAAUGGGCGAAAGCCUGAUCCAGCCAUGUCGCGUGUGUGAAGAAGGUCUUCGGAUUGUAAAGCACUUUAAGUUGGGAGGAAGGGCAGUAAGUUAAUACCUUGCUGUUUUGACGUUACCAACAGAAUAAGCACCGGCUAACUUCGUG
rnacentral:rRNA from 1 species